rnacentral:rRNA from 1 species
UACAGAGGUCCCGAGCGUUGUUCGGAUUCACUGGGCGUAAAGGGUGCGUAGGUGGCGAGGUAAGUCGGAUGUGAAAGCUCGGAGCUCAACUCCGAAAUGGCAUUGGAAACUACCUUGCUCGAGGGUUGGAGGGGGGACUGGAAUACUUGGUGUAGCAGUGAAAUGCGUAGAUAUCGGGAGGAACACCAGUGGCGAAGGCGGCCACCUGGACGGAUACUGACGCUGAGACGCGAAAGCGUGGGUAGCAAACAGG